rnacentral:rRNA from 1 species
GAAGGCAGCAGGCGCGCAAAUUACCCAAUCCUAAUACAGGGAGGUAGUGACAAGAAAUAACAAUACAGGACUUUUUGGUUUUGUAAUUGGAAUGAGUUAAGUAUAAACCCCUUUACAAGUAUCAAUUGGAGGGCAAGUCUGGUGCCAGCAGCCGCGGUAAUUCCAGCUCCAAUAGCGUAUAUUAAAGUUGUUGCAGUUAAAAAGCUCGUAGUUGGAUUUCUGUUAAUAAUUUAUAUAUAAUAUUUGAUUAAUAUUUAUAUAAUAUUAACAUAAUUCAUAUUACUAAAUUUAUUAGUAUAUGAAAUUUUACUUUGAGAAAAUUAGAGUGCUUAAAGAAGGCAUAUGCCUUGAAUACUCCAGCAUGGAAUAAUAUUAAAGAUUUUUAUCUUUUUUAUUGGUUCAUAGAUAAAAAUAUUGAUUAAU